CCCCUGUCCUCAGCUCUAAAGACUGUUUUAUAAAGGAACCUGUUUUUUUCACUUGGUUUAUAUUAGAAGGAUUUAGUAGGAUUACUAGUUUUGUUAUCAGAUAGAUUUGGAAACAUAGGAUUAUCUAUUGCCAUGUCAUUAAAAAGUUUUAUACGUAAAACGUUAUUAAUUUGACAGUGGAGGAGAAAGUGAUUUUCAUCUUCUAAGGUUUUACAAGUUGGACAUGUUCUAUUGUCUCGAGGUAUUUUUAGAUAUCUGCCCUUCUCAAUGAGCAAAUUAUGGUCACUAAUUCUAAUUUUUGUAAAUAAACGUCUAGUUUCAAAAUUUUGAUAUUUAAGAUAAAAUUCUUGGUCUUGUUUGACUUUAAUAUUUU
rnacentral:lncRNA from 1 species